rnacentral:lncRNA from 1 species
GAGCCCAGUGAGGGGCUGGGUCCAAGGGCUCCCUGGGGGGUCAGGGUAGAGUCUGACAGACAGGGCCCAUCCCUCUGCCCCAGAUGGGAGCAAAGCAGCCAGAGGGCACCAGGGCAGCUCCAGCCGUGGGCAUCAGGCAGUGCUGUGGAAAUAGAUAGGACGUGGGUCCUGGGGUCCUGCAGGGCACAGAUCUGGUGCUGGAUAUAUCAGUCCAGGACUGGUGGCACUGUGCUGGGCUGAGGACCAGGACAGUUCCUCAGGGUGUCCUCAGGGCCCUAGUCAUACGGUGGUGAAAGUCCUGAAUACUCAAGUGUAAGGGCCAGUGCUUUGCUCCAUUGCACCACAAGACAACAAGAAGCAUCCCAUUCCAGAGGGAAAGGCCAUGUUUCAGAAGGAUGACCAACAAACAUAUUUGGUCAAGAUGCAGACUCAUGCUCAGUAAUCAGAAAGUGGUGCUUUCUAUAGCACAGAUAGCCCAUCCAGUGCCAUACAUUGAACUUGAAAAAGAUAGAUGGGUGUCUGUUUUCUUGAGUAAUAGUUGACAGCAUCUUCAGUAAGCUCAUGCAUGCCACAGGCAUUUCUGCACUUCAGGUAAGAAGAUGAUUAUAUCAGCACUGGAACUUGAAAUCUUUACAGUGCGAUAACUUAUCUUCCUAAAAUAUUUCACCAUUUCAAUAGUCACAAGAAUUGUU